GAAAACCAGCUCCACUAAUCCUAAUCCCAGCUCCUACAAAAGUCGUAGCCUCUCUCUCGCGUACUCACUCAAACAGUAGAUUCUCCAGUCUCUCCAUUUUCCCUCCACUCACGCUUCCUCUCCUUCUCUCUACAGAUCCACCCACGCCUCUUCUGCUCGUGCCCCGUCUCUCUCCACCACUGCAGUGACGAUUUGAUGAUGUUUCCGCACCGAGACCGGUACUCUCUGCGGUACCUUUUUCUUUCUUAGUCGUGUGUCAGUACUCUUAAUAGGGUAAGUUGACCAUUAGCUACUGCUUCCGUAUUGUUACCCUCUCGUUUGAGAUGGGAAGAUUUGAAUAUUAUGCUGUAAUUGAGCUCUGGGCCAUUUCCACGAGCACUUAAUAGACGCGAAAGCGAGCAGCAAUGGUUGCAGAACCUUGGUUGCUGAAAAUGGGUAACCAGGUGAGUUCUAACCUCAAACACGCGCUGCUUCUUGAACCUUACAAGAGAAGGAAUCGGAGAAAACCAGAAGCCAGAGAGAAGGAGAUUGUUGGUAUUCUCUCAUUUGAGGUCGCCAUCGUUAUGUCUAAGACGGUCCUGCUAUUCAAAUCACUUUCCGAUUCCGAGAUCUCCAAGCUCAAGUCCGAGAUCUUGAACUCCCAGGGAGUUAAGAACUUGGUUUCUUCGGAUGAAAACUUCCUUCUCGAGCUUGCUUUAGCGGAGAAGCUCGACGACCUGAACAGGGUUGCUGGUGUUGUUUCUAGAUUGGGGAAGAAGUGCACUGAACCUGCUUUGCUAGGGUUCGAGCAUGUUUAUGGGGACAUAAUGAGUGGAGUCAUUGAUGUGAAGGAAUUGGGGUUUUUGGUGAAGGAUAUGGAGGGUAUGGUGAGGAAGAUGGAGAGGUAUGUGAGUGCCACCGCGAAUUUGUACAACGAGUUGGAGGUGUUGAACGAGCUGGAGCAGGCAGUGAAGAAAUUCCAGCAGAAUCAGCAUGAGGAGAGUCGCAAGGCGUUUGAGCAGAAAUUGAUUUGGCAGAAGCAAGACGUGAGGCAUCUCAAGGAGAUUUCUAUUUGGUCUCAGACUUACGAUAAGGUUGUGGAGUUGUUGGCGAGGACGGUAUGUACUAUUUUUGCCAAGAUUUGUGCGGUAUUUGGGGAUUCUGCUUUGAGAACUGGCCAUCUCGAAGGGGGUUCCUCUCCAAUGAAGAAUGAUUAUGGACAUGUAUCGGGUGAAAUUGGAGAGUGCCUGCAGGUGCAAGUGGUUUCAGGGCCGCUGAGACGAAUUCUUAGCAGAAGCAAUAGUGGUUGUCAAUCGGGUCUGAUUGAGAGACCUGCGAUGGUGAAAAAGGGGAAAAUUUUGAAGUCUCACAUUGGUUUACAAAGAGGAGAAACUGCAUUUAUUCAACAUGAAGACUAUAAUUUUCCAUGUGGGACUAGUCCGGGGAGGCUAAUUAUGGAUUGCCUUAGUUUGAGUAGUUCGGUUUCAAGGUUUGAUGAUGAAGACGAUGUUGAUCGUGAGGACCGAAAUAGCCACAUUUCGCGUUGUAGUGGUGUUACUAAUGGUGGUUUCAGAAGUGAGCAUCCUAAUCAUGCUGAUUGUUUUGGUCCAACCCAACUUGGGGUUUCUUUCAAUGCAGAUCAAAAGCAAGCAAAGAAUAAUGUGCUAAGUAGCACAUGCUUUGGUCCCAACAGUAGGUUGACUGUUUAUGCUCCCCCUUCUACUGUGGGAGGCUCUGCCCUGGCCUUGCAUUACGCAAAUGUUAUAAUUGUCAUAGAGAAGUUACUACGCUACCCUCACUUAGUAGGCGAGGAAGCUAGAGAUGAUUUGUAUCAAAUGUUACCGACAAGCUUAAGAAAGACUCUGAGGACUAAUCUCAAGUCCUAUUUCAAGAAUUUCGCGAUAUAUGAUGCUCCGCUUGCUCUUGAUUGGAAAGAGACGUUGGAUAAGAGAUUGAGUUGGCUAGCCCCAUUAGCACAUAAUAUGAUCAGGUGGCAAAGUGAGCGUAAUUUUGAGCAGCAACAAAUUGUUAAGCGGACAAAUGUUCUUCUGCUUCAGACGUUGUACUUUGCUGAUAGGGGGAAGACCGAGGCAGCUAUUUGUGAACUUCUUGUUGGAUUGAAUUAUAUAUGUCGCUAUGAGCAGCAGCAAAACGCACUGUUAGACUGUGCAAGUAGCAUUGAUUUUGAUGAUUGUAUGGAAUGGCAGUCUCAAGGCGGGGUUUCUUAUCUCAAUUAGUUAUAUUAUCAAAUUCGGAUGGCUGAAGCAGGCUGUAUAGACAGUUACUGACUGUUGAUAUAUGUGUGAAGACAUUUAUGAUUCAGCAAAAUGAGAAUACGCUUUGCUGAAUUGCCUUGCUGUUGGAUGCUGGAUUUGAUUAAUUUCUUUCACUGUCAGAAGAACAGAGAGAAGAGGCAAGGAAUGUGUCAUGCGGCAUUAAUUAAACAGAGGGUAGAAGAGGGCAUUGAUGGUGUAAUAAACGAGCUCCCUUUGUCCUCACGAUGUGGUUGGAUGCCAUUAAAUUGAUGGAACGAGGUCAAGAGGACCCUCUUGAGUUUUGUGCUUGGUGACAUACAUUCAGUAACUUCAGACAUUCCUCUCAGGACCCAAACCAGAUUCUGAUUUCUACCAAAAUUAGGACGCUUAUUUAGUGUCAGACUCAAGACCCGGCUGCGCAUGAUGGUGGUAGCGGACAAGUGAAAUAUUUGCGAACCCGAUUUACUAGUCCUUCAAAUACAUGGUUCAGUUGAUGAAUUUUUCCCCCCUUCUCAUGUUAAUGUUUGCUUCCCCUCCAUUUACAAGCUCCUGUAAAUUAACCUUUUCUUUCACAAAUUAUUUCGAUUGUAGAAAUGAAUCAAUAUAAAGAUUGAGUUGUGUAAACCACUUGGUGACAGCGUAGUUAGUUAUCUUUCCGGACUUAGACCUAUGGUGCCCGAGGACGCGAGUUUGAAAAUAUUUUCUUCUGUAAUCCUGGUUUAGUGUGCUUGUCUCA